rnacentral:rRNA from 1 species
UACAGAGGGGGCAAGCGUUGUCCGGACUUACUGGGUGUAAAGCGCAUGCAGGUGGCCUGGCAAGUGUGCUGUGAAAGCCCCCGGCUCAACUGGGGAGGGUCACGCGAUACUGUUCGACUUGAAGGCAGGAGAGGGAAGUGGAAUUCCCGGUGUAGUGGUGAAAUGCGUAGAUAUCGGGAGGAACACCAGUGGCGAAGGCGACUUCCUGGCCUGUUCUUGACGCUGAGGCGCGAAAGCUAGGGUAGCAAACGGG